CUCCAUUGCAAUAAAAGUUAGGUCAAACAAUUGGAGAACCAAUGAGAAUGGCACUUCACAAAGUUCCCUGAGCUCUCUUACGGGUCUAGAUCAGGAACAGGAGUCCCGCCAGGGCCUGUGCUGAGGAGGGGCUUUGGGGAGAUGACUGACAGCAGGUGGGGCCUGCUUGGGAGAGGAGGCUCCUGGAGGUGACCCGGAAGGAUUUCUCUCCCUCCUGGGCUCCCGGCUUCUCUCUGUUCCCGGCCACCAUGAGUGGGCAGCUGUCCUCAUGGAUGUCCCUGUGCCGUGGUGCUCUUCCAUGGGGCCAGCCGGCCGUGGACUGUAACCUUGAGGGCAAGUAAACCUCUCCCCUUUAAAUUGUGGGUGUCCAAUCUGGUGUCUCUUGAUGAGGAAAGUGACUGAGAUACUGUUCUUGGAUAGCUCUUUGCUCCUUAUUGUGAGGUUUUGGCGCGAGUAAAAAAAAAAAAAAGUUAAAAAUACCUUUAUUGCAGGCACAGCAAGGCUGUAGAGAGGGAGACAGAUGGAAGGACCUCCGGAGGGCCAGGUGAGGAGAACAAUGGCUACAAAGGGCCAGGCUGGGGGUGGGCUUUGCUGCCUGCGUGACGUGGCAGAUGGUGAUUGGGCAGGGGGCGGGAGAAAGGAAACGGUGUUGUAAAACGGAAGUAGGAAGUUGUAACCUGGCGGGGAAGGAGAAGGGCGGGGCUUGGCACAUGGCUGUCUUGGCUCAUCAAGAUACCUUGCCACAUUGGCUCAUCUCCAUGGUGACCAGGUAGAAUUUUUAAUUUGGGCAGAAACCCAUCACUUCACACCUCUCAUCCUGAACCCUGCUCCGACUGAACUGAAGCGAAGACACACGAUCUCACAUAGGAUGCCCCUGCAGGAAGUUCGCACCGCGAAGCGGCACGGGUGGGUCGGCACAGCCUGCUCUUCGCCUCGCUUCCGCUGCCCAGAAGCAGAUGCUUACCGCAGGGGUCUCUGCGAUGCCACCAAUGGGAAGCCGCCUGCGAGUGCUUACCCUGGACAGCCCGGUAAGAUCCGCGGCCAAGUACAUUUGUGAACGUCAAUAAUAUUUUCCAGACUCUAAAAUGGGGAUGUGGUUGUCUUGGACUCAGGCCAACAGCUUUCUCCAAAUUGAAGAGAGGUGAGCUGGAGGAAGGCCAGGUCCCUGUGGAUGUGCCACACUACCUGCAUGGGUCCCUGGGACGCACAUGCUGAACAGGCCCACCCUGGACACUCUCCCCAUAUCCCUGUGACGUGGUCCUGUAUUCCACAUCCUCAGUUAAAUGUUUCUCCUCGAGGGGCUCCCCGCUCACCCCUUUAAAUAAAUCACAGUCCUUCCCCACUGUGUCCUCCCUUGU
rnacentral:lncRNA from 1 species